AUUGAACGCUGGCGGCAGGCUUAACACAUGCAAGUCGAGCGGAGAUGAGGUGCUUGCACCUUAUCUUAGCGGCGGACGGGUGAGUAAUGCUUAGGAAUCUGCCAUUUAGUGGGGGACAACAUUCCGAAAGGAAUGCUAAUACCGCAUACGUCCUACGGGAGAAAGCAGGGGAUCUUCGGACCUUGCGCUAAAUGAUGAGCCUAAGUCGGAUUAGCUAGUUGGUGGGGUAAAGGCCUACCAAGGCGACGAUCUGUAGCGGGUCUGAGAGGAUGAUCCGCCACACUGGGACUGAGACACGGCCCAGACUCCUACGGGAGGCAGCAGUGGGGAAUAUUGGACAAUGGGCGGAAGCCUGAUCCAGCCAUGCCGCGUGUGUGAAGAAGGCCUUUUGGUUGUAAAGCACUUUAAGCGAGGAGGAGGCUACUAGUACUAAUACUACUGGAUAGUGGACGUUACUCGCAGAAUAAGCACCGGCUAACUCUGUGCCAGCAGCCGCAGUAAUAC
rnacentral:rRNA from 1 species